rnacentral:rRNA from 1 species
CGGAACGUGCCUAGUAGUGGGGGAUAACUACUCGAAAGAGUAGCUAAUACCGCAUGAGAUCUAAGGAUGAAAGCAGGGGACCUUCGGGCCUUGCGCUACUAGAGCGGCUGAUGGCAGAUUAGGUAGUUGGUGGGAUAAAAGCUUACCAAGCCGACGAUCUGUAGCUGGUCUGAGAGGACGACCAGCCACACUGGGACUGAGACACGGCCCAGACUCCUACGGGAGGCAGCAGUGGGGAAUUUUGGACAAUGGGCGAAAGCCUGAUCCAGCAAUGCCGCGUGUAGGAUGAAGGCCCUCGGGUUGUAAGCUACUUUUGUACGGAACGAAAAGCUCUCUUCUAAUAAAGGAGAGUGAUGACGGUACCGUAAGAAUAAGCACCGGCUAACUACGUGCCAGCAGCCGCGGUAAUACGUAGGGUGCGAGCGUUAAUCGGAAUUACUGGGCGUAAAGCGUGCGCAGGCGGUUAUGUAAGACAGAGGUGAAAUCCCCGGGCUCAACCUGGGAACGGCCUUUGUGACUGCAUAGCUAGAGUACGGUAGAGGGGGAUGGAAUUCCGCGU